GGCGGACGGGUGAGUAACACGUAGGCAACCUGCCUGCAAGACUGGGAUAACUACCGGAAACGGUAGCUAAUACCGGAUACGCAAGAGAGUCGCAUGAUUUUCUUGGGAAAGACGGAGCAAUCUGUCACUUGCGGAUGGGCCUGCGGCGCAUUAGCUAGUUGGUGAGGUAACGGCUCACCAAGGCGACGAUGCGUAGCCGACCUGAGAGGGUGAACGGCCACACUGGGACUGAGACACGGCCCAGACUCCUACGGGAGGCAGCAGUAGGGAAUCUUCCGCAAUGGACGAAAGUCUGACGGAGCAACGCCGCGUGAGUGAUGAAGGUUUUCGGAUCGUAAAGCUCUGUUGCCAGGGAAGAACGUCGGGUAGAGUAACUGCUAUCCGAGUGACGGUACCUGAGAAGAAAGCCCCGGCUAACUACGUGCCAGCAGCCGCGGUAAUACGUAGGGGGCAAGCGUUGUCCGGAAUUAUUGGGCGUAAAGCGCGCGCAGGCGGCCAUUUAAGUCUGGUGUUUAAUCCCGGGGCUCAACU
rnacentral:rRNA from 1 species